GGUCCCGUAGCUCAAUUGGAUAGAGCAACUGCCUUCUAAGCAGUAGGUUCCAGGUUCGAGCCCUGGCGGGAUCGCCA
rnacentral:tRNA from 1 species